rnacentral:rRNA from 1 species
AUGGCCAAGGUUAACGCCGGCGCCGCCCUGUUGUCUCUGUGCCUGUUGCUGGCCUGUUCUGCCGGAGGCACACAGGCCGCCUACGUGGACGUGGAGGGCACCGUGAGGACAGAAGUAGAGAAGGCCAUCAAGAGCAACCCCGGCAUCGGUGCCGCCCUCGUCCGUCUGGUGUUCCACGACUGCUGGGUUAAUGGUUGCGAUGGAUCGGUGCUCUUGGACAAGACGACAUCCGGUGGCAAUACCGAGAAGAAGGCGAUCAACAAUAUCGGCCUGGACGGCUUCAACCUGAUCGACACCAUCAAGUACAAACUGGGCAACAGCGUCUCGUGCGCUGACAUCGUCGUCUUCGCCGCGCGUGACGCGGCCAGAUACCUGAGCGGCGGCAAAAUCACCUACUCCGUUCCCUCAGGGCGCAAGGACGGCAUCGUCUCGUCUGCCGCUGCCGCAGACGCCAUCCUCCCGCAAUCCACCUUCGAGUUCCAACAGCUCGUGGACAACUUCGCCAAGAAGAACUUCACCCAGGAGGAGCUCGUCAUCCUCUCCGGCGCGCACUCCAUCGGCGUCUCCCACCUCUCGUCCUUCCAGGACCGCCUCAACGAUUCAACCGCGACCCCGAUCGACGACAACUACAAGCAGGCUCUUGUCGCAGACGUCGAGGCCCAGAAGAAGAGCCAAAAUACGCCGGAUCCGAUUGAGAAGAACAACAUCCGCGACAUGAGCUCGAGCUUCCAGACCACCGCCGGGUACGACCCCACAGGUGUGAACACCGCGGCAAAGGGCGCUCUGGACAACAGCUACUACCACGCCAACCUCCAGAACAGGGUGCUCUUCAAGUCCGACUGGGUUAUGCGCACGGACAGCAAAGCCGGGGACGACAUGGCCGAGUACAUGAACAAUGCCACCAAGUGGAACAACGACUUCGCCGCUGCCAUGGUCAAGCUCAGCAAGCUGCCGGCCGAGGGUAGUACUCGUUACGAGAUAAGGAAGAACUGCAGAGUCACCAACCAGAACUACUAUUACUAG